AUCUAUGGCCAUGUCACCCUGAACGAGCUUGAUGUCUGAUCUCGGAAGCUAAGCAGAGUCGGGUCUGGUUAGCUUUUGGAUGGGAGAACACCUGGGAAGACCAGGUACUGUAGGCA
rnacentral:rRNA from 1 species